rnacentral:rRNA from 1 species
UACGAAGGGGGGCUAGCGUUGCUCGGAAUCACUGGGCGUAAAGCGCACGUAGGCGGCUUGUUAAGUCAGGGGUGAAAUCCUGGAGCUCAACUCCAGAACUGCCUUUGAUACUGGCGAGCUUGAGUUCGGGAGAGGUGAGUGGAACUGCGAGUGUAGAGGUGAAAUUCGUAGAUAUUCGCAAGAACACCAGUGGCGAAGGCGGCUCACUGGCCCGAUACUGACGCUGAGGUGCGAAAGCGUGGGGAGCAAACAG